GAUGAGCGAGCUAACAUCGCAAGAAAUAGGACAAUAGUUAUGUUCCUAUUGGGAGGGAUCUGACAGUAAUCUAUUUAUUGUGAAAUUAUUAGGUCUUCUAGUCUGACUUGGACUUUGUUGCUGAAGCUUCAAAUGUCAUAUAGGUUCGGAUGUUGUGAGUCCACUUUGAACUCAAAGACCAUGGAGGCUUUUUGAAGCCUAUUUUUGUCGCU
rnacentral:lncRNA from 1 species